rnacentral:rRNA from 1 species
GAUGAACGCUGGCUACAGGCUUAACACAUGCAAGUCGAGGGGAAACGACGGGGAAGCUUGCUUCCCCGGGCGUCGACCGGCGCACGGGUGAGUAACGCGUAUCCAACCUGCCUCUGACUGAGGGAUAACCCGUCGAAAGUCGGCCUAAUACCUCAUGGCAUCGUCUGCGGGCAUCCAACGACGAUUAAAGAUUUCAUCGGUCAGGGAUGAGGAUGCGUCUGAUUAGCUAGUUGGCGGGGUAACGGCCCACCAAGGCGACGAUCAGUAGGGGUUCUGAGAGGAAGGUCCCCCACAUUGGAACUGAGACACGGUCCAAACUCCUACGGGAGGCAGCAGUGAGGAAUAUUGGUCAAUGGGCGAGAGCCUGAACCAGCCAAGUAGCGUGCAGGAUGACGGCCCUAUGGGUUGUAAACUGCUUUUAUGCGGGGAUAAAGUGAGGGACGUGUCCUUCAUUGCAGGUACCGCAUGAAUAAGGACCGGCUAAUUCCGUG